rnacentral:rRNA from 1 species
CCUACGGGAGGCAGCAGUGAGGAAUAUUGGUCAAUGGCCGCAGGGCUGAACCAGCCAAGUCGCGUGAGGGAUGACGGUCCUAUGGAUUGUAAACCUCUUUUGUCAGGGAGCAAAGGGCGCCACGUGUGGCGCUUUGCGAGUACCUGAAGAAAAAGCAUCGGCUAACUCCGUGCCAGCAGCCGCGGUAAUACGGAGGAUGCGAGCGUUCUCGGGAUUUAUUGGGUUGAAAGGGUGCGCAGGCGGAAUGUCAAGUCAGCGGUAAAAUUUCGGGGCUCAACCCCGUCGUGCCGUUGAAACUGGCGUUCUUGAGUGAGCGAGAAGUAUGCGGAAUGCGUGGUGUAGCGGUGAAAUGCAUAGAUAUCACGCAGAACUCCGAUUGCGAAGGCAGCAUACCGGCGCUCAACUGACGCUCAUGCACGAAAGCGUGGGUAUCGAACAGGAUUAGAUACCCGAGUAGUC